rnacentral:rRNA from 1 species
GAUGAACGCUGGCGGCGUGCCUAAUACAUGCAAGUCGAGCGAACAGACGAGGAGCUUGCUCCUCUGACGUUAGCGGCGGACGGGUGAGUAACACGUGGAUAACCUACCUAUAAGACUGGGAUAACUUCGGGAAACCGGAGCUAAUACCGGAUAAUAUAUUGAACCGCAUGGUUCAAUAGUGAAAGACGGUUUUGCUGUCACUUAUAGAUGGAUCCGCGCCGCAUUAGCUAGUUGGUAAGGUAACGGCUUACCAAGGCAACGAUGCGUAGCCGACCUGAGAGGGUGAUAGGCCACACUGGAACUGAGACACGGUCCAGACUCCUACGGGAGGCAGCAGUCGGCAAUCUUCCGCAACGGGCGAAAGCCUUGCGGAGCAACGCCGCGUGAGUGAUGAAGGUCUUCGGAUCGUAAAACUGUGUUAUUAGUGAAGAACAAAUUUGUAAGUAACUAUGCACGUCUUGACGGUACCUAAUCAGAAAGCCACGGCUAACUACGUG